ensembl:snRNA U6 U6 spliceosomal RNA
CUGACUUCAGUAGCACAUGGACUAAAAGUGGAACAAUACAGAGAUUAACAUGGUCCCUCGUGCAAGAAUGACAUGCAAAUUAGUGGUGUUCCAUAUUUUU